AUUCUCACUUCGGGAGCACACAUACUAAAAUUGGAAUGAUAGAGAAAAGGUUAGCAUGGUCCUUGCUCAAGGAUGACAUGCAAAUUAGUGAAUUGUUCCAUAUUUUU
ensembl:snRNA Gm22575 U6 spliceosomal RNA